GGUCGAUGAUGAGAGCUUUGUUCUGAGC
rnacentral:piRNA from 1 species